UGAUGGCAAGCUGUUAAAAUAUUUAGAUGAAAAUACCUUGCAAUCUGUUGUAAGAGAUGCUGUCAGUGUUACCAGCCCUGAUUUUGAAAAUAAAAAUCUUUUACUUGGUGUUUUACCUGCAGAGUCUGACAAAGCUGUUGAUUAAACAGAAAUUAUUCACAACUUACUUGAGUCCUUUGAAAUAUGCAAUGAAAUUUUCGCAAUUGUUGCAGAUACUACAAAUGUUAAUACAGGAGCUCAUGCAGGAAUUCUAACCAGAUUGUGCUAUAUUUUGGGAAAACCUGUUCUCUGGCUGUUAUGCAGACAUCACAUGUUUGAAAUAGCAAUACAAGGGCAAUUGUAAUUGUCCUUGGAGUUACUGCUGGAGUUGCUGCUACGAUGCACCACAUCGACAGUUCUAUAAAGAUUUCAAGAAGUACUGGAAUAUAUCACGCUAUAGUUCAAAAAGUUGACCUAUCUGAGUUUAAGAAAUUUAAUGAGAAGAAGCUGGAAGUUGGAUCUGAACUUCAUAAGCUUUACCUGGAUACUCAGGAAUAUCUGAAGUUUGCUCUUAAUUACGAAGUGUUUCCAAGCGAUGAUUACAAUCAUCUAAUAAAGUAUGCUGCAUUUUAUUUAAAUGUCUCAUCACCAAAGCUGAAUGAUUUUAAAAUUCAUCAACCAGGAGUCAAUCACAAUGCUCAUUUCAUGGCUGACAGUCUUUACAAUUUAGCAUUUGUUAUGGCAUCAGGUAUAAUAGAUUUUCUGCCUAAAGAUCUGUUACCCCACCUGGAAAAGUGAGCUUUUAUAUGUGCAGUUUUUAAUGCUUCAUGGUAUUUACAUUCAUACAAAGCAGAAUAUGCUGUUAAGAAUGAUUACCUGUCAUUCAAGUCAGCUUAUGUUAUACAACAAGAGUUUGAUGUCAGAAUUGGAAAUGCAUUUCUGAAAUUUUUUCAACAAUACUCUUGGUACCUUGCCCCAAAGGUUGCUGUGUUAAUACUUGCAGAUCCAAAUUUUGAAGAGAAGCUUGCAGUUCUGGACAAGCUGUUGACCUUUGAGGUACCAGAUAUCAACACUACUCUCAAUGGUAAACCUGAUGCUGUUCUAGUUUUACCUACCUCUGAAAUAACAGAGUUGAUUACAGAGGAAAGUUGGACUGUUCAUUGUUCUAGGCAUACAGGAUGAAAGUCCUACCUGGAAAACAGAUUUAGCUGCUGGAAAGCUAGAAGAAAAUGAUUCAUAUGUAUCAUUUUGUGAGUUUGUUAAAUCUCUAAAUGUUACAAAUGACCCAGCAGAGCGGAAUAUCAAUAUAAUCCAAAGAUAUAUAAGUAGUAGUAUAAAGGAGGACAAAAGACAAGUUAUUCUGCUUGUUGUGCGAGAGCACAGGGCAUUAAUAUCAAAAGGAGCAAAACAAUUAAAACUGGCCAUAUUGUAAAAAACUAUUUAUUUCAGAAAAAAACAAUGGUUUCUCGUAUUUGUGUAAAAACCUAAAAUCAUCUUCCAGCACUAAAUAUGGCAGCUUCAUUUGAAGGUAGAUAGUGGUUGUUGAAGCAGUAUGAGUUUGAUGACACUAUCCAACUUUUAUGUGAUAUGCUUCAGUCAUCGAAUUUGAUUUGACACAUAAUGCAUCUUUUGCCAUAGCAAGAACAUCAAAGUAUGGAAAAGAUGCUGUUUGGUAUUGUUAGCUUUUUAAAGAAUACUCACAAUCAGAUCUUGCUUUGUUUUGUUUUGCAUGGCUCAAGUGUUAUUGUGGAUGGAUAUUUUGCAAGCACUCAUUUGCAAUGUUUUACUCAAGUGAAGGUGCAAAAUGUUCUUUAAAUGAAGUAGUGUUUAUUGACACUCCACAAUCAGAUUAUUUUGCACCCUCAACUCCUCAAUUACAUGUUCAUGGUAAAACAGAGAUUUUUAUUGAGUGGGAUCCUCCUAAAAAUCUUCUUGGCAGAUUAAAUUAUUAUGAACUUAGAAUGGAUAACAUGGUAAUAUAUAGAGGAGUUGAACGCUGUUUUACUGCGCAAGCUCUUCAGCUAACUAAAGUUUAUAGCUUUACAGUUUCAGCUUGGAUGAGUGUUGGUAGAUGCGAAAGUUUACCCAGAACACGUCGAAUCAGCAAGCAAUCUACAUCAUCGUCUAUUUUAAAAAGAAGAAUCUCUAUCAAAGAGUAAUUUGAAUCGCGAUCCAACGAAUUGUUAGUAUGCGACUAUAUGCAACCUGUAAAGUUAAAAAAAUUUUAAGUAAAAAUAAAAAUGACAAAAGUGUAAUUGUUAAAUAUAUGUA
rnacentral:misc_RNA from 1 species